rnacentral:rRNA from 1 species
UACACGGACAAUGAUCCNUUGCUGGGAUUGACCAUUUGACCUCAAAUCAGGUAGGACUACCCGCUGAACUUAAGCAUAUCAAUAAGCGGAGGAAAAGAAACUAACAAGGAUUCCCCUAGUAACUGCGAGUGAAGCGGGAAAAGCUCAAAUUUAAAAUCUGGCGGUCCUCGCGNCCGUCCGAGUUGUAAUCUGGAGAAGUGUUUUCCGUGCUGGACCGUGUACAAGUCUCCUGGAACGGAGCGUCAUAGAGGGUGAGAAUCCCGUCUUUGACACGGACUGCCAGUACUUAUGUGAUACGCUCUCAACGAGUCGAGUCGUUUGGGAAUGCAGCUCAAAAUGGGUGGUAAAUUCCAUCUAAAGCUAAAUAUUGGCGAGAGACCGAUAGCGAACAAGUACCGUGAGGGAAAGAUGAAAAGAACUUUGGAAAGAGAGUUAAACAGUACGUGAAAUUGUUGAAAGGGAAACGCUUGAAGUCAGUCGCGUCUUCUGGGAAUCAACCUUGCAUUCGUGCUUGGUGCACUUCCUGGUAGACGGGUCAACAUCAAUUUCGACCGACGGAUAAAGGCGUGAGGAAGGUGGCAACCUCGGUUGUGUUAUAGCCUUGCGUCGCAUACGUCGGUUGGGAUUGAGGAACUCAGUACGCCUUUAUGGUCGGGGUUUACCCACGUAACGU